UAUGUGCACUUUACUACUUUUACGGUGUGGUGCCUCAGGGUUACAUUCUCAGUUGUCAAAAAUUGUCUGAACAUUUGAAGAAUGUCUUCCCCCCUCGUCAUUACACAUGAAAUUUCACACGAGGAUUCCCUCUGGUUCAGUAAAAACCGUGAAUGCAUGCAUAUUCAAUAAAGCAUUUCAUUAGAAACACAGUUGUGCAUUCUUCUCAGAGGCUCUUUGGCCGCCAUCUUGAAUUUUGGUCCGUGACUGA
rnacentral:lncRNA from 1 species